CCUCCAGGGUCCCAGGGGCCAGCGGGGGCCACGAGGAGCCACUGGAAAGCUGGGGGCGAAGGGCACCUCUGGCGGCGACGGCCCCCAUGGCCCUCCCGGGGAAAGGGGACUCCCGGGCCCCCAGGGGCCAAACGGCUUCCCCGGACCCAAAGGGCCACCGGGCCCCCCUGGCAAGGACGGGCUUCCCGGGCACCCCGGUCAGCGAGGAGAAGUCG